AUUGAACGCUGGCGGAAUGCUUUACACAUGCAAGUCGAACGGCAGCACAGGUGCUUGCACCUGGUGGCGAGUGGCGAACGGGUGAGUAAUACAUCGGAACGUACCCAGUCGUGGGGGAUAACGUAGCGAAAGUUACGCUAAUACCGCAUACGUCCUGAGGGAGAAAGCGGGGGACCGUAAGGCCUCGCGCGAUUGGAGCGGCCGAUGGCGGGUUAGCUAGUUGGUGGGGUAAAGGCCUACCAAGGCGACGAUCCGUAGCGGGUCUGAGAGGACGGCCGGCCACACUGGAGCUGAGACACGGUCCAGCCUCCUACGGGAGGCAGCAGUGGGGAAUUUUGGACAAGGGGCGAAAGCCUGAUCCAGCCAUUCCGCGUGAGUGAAGAAGGCCUUCGGGUUGUAAAGCUCUUUCGGCAGGGAAGAAACGGCUUGGGAUAAUACCCCGGGCUAAUGACGGUACCUGAAGAAGAAGCACCGGCUAACUACGUGCCAGCCGCCGCCGUAA
rnacentral:rRNA from 1 species